rnacentral:rRNA from 1 species
GUGCUUCACACACGCAAGUUCGAAACGGUAAGAGCCCCUUUUCGGGGGUCACACGAGCGGCGAAACGGGCGAGUAACACGUCGAGUAACCUCGCCCUCAUCCUCCGGGAUAACAGUCGGAAACGGUUCGCUAAUACUCGGAUAUCGAAGCCUCGCAAGGCAUCUUCGUCGGGUUCGGAAAGAUUUUUUCGGUUCGGGGAUCGGACUCGCGGCCUAUCAGCUUGUUGGUGAGGUAGUGGCUCACCAAGGCUUCGACGGGUAGCCGGCCUGAGAGGGCGACCGGCCACAUUGGGACUGAGAUACGGCCCAAACUCCUACGGGAGGCAGCAGUGGGGAAUAUUGCACAAUGGACGGAAGUCUGAUGCAGCAACGCCGCGUGCGGGAUGACGGCCUUCGGGUUGUAAACCGCUUUCAAUUGUGACGAAGCUUUUUGUGACGGUAGCAGUAGAAGAAGCACCGGCUAACUACGUGCCAGCAGCCGCGGUGAUACGUAGGGUGCGAGCGUUGUCCGGAUUUAUUGGGCGUAAAGAGCUUGUAGGUGGUUUGUCGCGUCGGGAGUGAAAACUCAGGGCUUAACUCUGAGCUUGCUUUCGAUACGGGCUGACUUGAGGGAGGUAGGGGGAGAAUGGAAUUCCUGGUGGAGCGGUGGAAUGCGCAGAUAUCAGGAGGAACACCGGUGGCGAAGGCGGUUCUCUGGACCUUUCCUGACGCUGAGAAGCGAAAGCGUGGGGAGCGAACAGGCUUAGAUACCCUGGUAGUCCACGCUGUAAACGGUGGGUACUAGGUGUGGGGGACAUUCCACGUUCUCCGUGCCGUAGCUAACGCAUUAAGUACCCCGCCUGGGGAGUACGGCCGCAAGGCUAAAACUCAAAGGAAUUGACGGGGCCCCGCACAAGCGGCGGAGCAUGCGGAUUAAUUCGAUGCAACGCGAAGAACCUUACCUGGGUUUGACAUAUGCCGGAAGCGUUCAGAGAUGGGCGUGCCUUUUUGGUCGGUUUACAGGUGGUGCAUGGCUGUCGUCAGCUCGUGUCGUGAGAUGUUGGGUUAAGUCCCGCAACGAGCGCAACCCUCGUCCAAUGUUGCCAGCGGGUUAUGCCGGGAACUCAUUGGAGACCGCCGGGGUCGAACUCGGAGGAAGGUGGGGAUGACGUCGAAGUCAUCGAUGCCCCUUAUGUCCAGGGCUUCACGCGUGCUACGAAUGGCCGGUACAGUGAGCUGCGAGCCUGUGAGGGUGAGCGAAAUCUCUAAAAGCUCGGUCUCGGUUCGGAUUGGGGUCUGCAACUCGAACCCCGUGAGGUCGGAGUCGCUAGGAUCGCGGGUUCGGCGACGGCUGCGGUAAAGACGUUCCCGG